ensembl:lncRNA
CAACCCUUACGUAACCUCAAAAUAUCUGUAGCUAAAGUGGCUUUGGGUAGCUCUGGCUAGCCCCCGUGCUCCAGCCCAGCGCUGGUGUGGGAGUCUGGUGUCCUCUGCUUCGGGGGGUGGAUAGAAAGAUGAAAACUGCGAACUGAGGCUUUCUGGGAAAAUAGUCUCGGCCUCACCCCGUAUGCACCGUGUCAGGGAGCCAGUGAGAUGAAGGGCACAUGAACAUGAACGCCAGCGCUUCAGACACACGGCUCGUGAUGGAGGGAGUCGCUAUCAAUGAGAGUAGCAGUGACGUGCAGAGCUUUG